GGAGUGGUGGAAAGCGCCCUGGGCUUGGAGUCUGAAGACCUCAUUUGGAAUUUUGACUCUGUUGGCUUCCUACCUCUAUGAUACUAGGGAUCCAAUGGAGAAAUUUUUGGUGGCCUAUGCAAUUGAAGGGAAACACUGGAGAAAUCUUUGUCCGUACCUCCAUUUAGAAUGCUCUAUGAGUCUUUAGGACUCCACUGGAGAAAUUUAUGUGUUGAAGGAAACUAUUAGCAGAAUUUUUACCCAGAACACAAACAGUUGGUUUUUCACGUGAAGGCAGGACUGAAGUCACCUGGGGAAGGGUUCUUGGAUUGGUUUAGUUAGCCCAGGCUGCUGCAAAUACAUCAUUUCCCCAAACCC